UACGUAGGUGGCAAGCGUUGUCCGGAAUUAUUGGGCGUAAAGCGCGCGCAGGCGGUCUUUUAAGUCUGAUGUGAAAUAUCGGGGCUCAACCCCGAGGGGUCAUUGGAAACUGGGAGACUUGAGUACAGAAGAGGAGAGUGGAAUUCCACGUGUAGCGGUGAAAUGCGUAGAUAUGUGGAGGAACACCAGUGGCGAAGGCGACUCUCUGGUCUGUAACUGACGCUGAGGCGCGAAAGCGUGGGGAGCAAACAGG
rnacentral:rRNA from 1 species